UACGUAGGGGGCAAGCGUUGUCCGGAUUUAUUGGGCGUAAAGAGCGUGUAGGCGGCCGUACAGGUCAGCUGUGAAAACCCGAGGCUCAACCUCGAGACGUCGGUUGAAACCGUAUGGCUAGAGUCCGGAAGAGGAGAGUGGAAUUCCCGGUGUAGCGGUGAAAUGCGCAGAUAUCGGGAAGAACACCCGUGGCGAAGGCGGCUCUCUGGGACGGUACUGACGCUGAGACGCGAAAGCGUGGGGAGCGAACAGG
rnacentral:rRNA from 1 species